rnacentral:rRNA from 1 species
GAUGAACGCUAGCGGCAGGCUUAAUACAUGCAAGUCGUACGGGAUCCGAGGUAGCAAUACUUUGGUGAGAGUGGCGCACGGGUGCGUAACACGUAUGCAACCUACCUUUAACCGGGACACAACCUCGAGAAAUUGAGGCUAAUAUCCCAUAACACUGCGAAGUGGCAUCACUUUGCAGUUAAAACUCCGGUGGUUAUUGAUGGGCAUGCGCGACAUUAGCUAGUUGGUGAGGUAACGGCCCACCAAGGCUACGAUGUCUAGGGGUUCUGAGAGGAUUAUCCCCCACACUGGUACUGAGACACGGACCAGACUCCUACGGGAGGCAGCAGUAAGGAAUAUUGGUCAAUGGGCGCAAGCCUGAACCAGCCAUGCCGCGUGAAGGAUGACGGCCCUAUGGGUUGUAAACUUCUUUUGUACGGGAAAAAACCACCGGUCGUGUAUCGGUGCUGAUGUAC